rnacentral:rRNA from 1 species
GAUGAACGCUGGCGGCGUGCCUAAUACAUGCAAGUCGAGCGAACCACUUCGGUGGUGAGCGGCGAACGGGUGAGUAACACGUAGGUGAUCUGCCCAUCAGACGGGGACAACGAUUGGAAACGAUCGCUAAUACCGGAUAGGACGAAAGUUUAAAGGUGCUUCUGGCACCGCUGAUGGAUGAGCCUGCGGCGCAUUAGCUAGUUGGUAGGGUAAAGGCCUACCAAGGCGACGAUGCGUAGCCGACCUGAGAGGGUGAACGGCCACACUGGGACUGAGAAACGGCCCAGACUCCUACGGGAGGCAGCAGGAGGGAAUCUUCGGCAAUGGGCGAAAGCCUGACCGAGCAACGCCGCGUGAAUGAUGAAGGCCUUCGGGUUGUAAAAUUCUGUUAUAAGGGAAGAACGACUUUAGUAGGAAAUGGCUAGAGUGUGACGGUACCUUAUGAGAAAGCCACGGCUAACUACGUGCCAGCAGCCGCGGUAA